rnacentral:rRNA from 1 species
CCUACGGGUGGCAGCAGUGAGGAAUAUUGGUCAAUGGGCGCGAGCCUGAACCAGCCAAGUAGCGUGAAGGAUGACUGCCCUACGGGUUGUAAACUUCUUUUAUAAAGGAAUAAAGUGGGGCACGUGUGCCUUUUUGAAUGUAUUUUAUGAAUAAGGAUCGGCUAACUCCGUGCCAGCAGCCGCGGUAAUACGGAGGAUCCGAGCGUUAUCCGGAUUUAUUGGGUUUAAAGGGUGCGUAGAUGGUUUGUUAAGUUAGUUGUGAAAGUUUGGGGCUCAACCGUGAAAUUGCAAUUGAUACUGGCAGCCUUGAGUACAGUUGAGGUAGGCGGAAUUCGUGGUGUAGCGGUGAAAUGCUUAGAGAUCACGAAGAACUCCGAUUGCGAAGGCAGCCUACUAAGCUGCCACUGACAUUGAUGCUCGAAAGUGUGGGUAUCAAACAGGAUUAGAUACCCGAGUAGUC